rnacentral:rRNA from 1 species
CUUGGUCAUUAGAGGAAGUAAAAGUCGUAACAAGGUUUCCGUAGGUGAACCUGCGGAGGAUCAUUACAAGUGAGGCUCCGAACGCUGGAAACAGCGGUCAGGAGCUACACCCACCCGUGUUUACAUACUAUUGUUGCUUUGGCGGGCCGUGGCCUCACUGCGGGCUCUGCUCGUGUGUGCCCGCCAGAGGACCAAACUCUGAAUUUAGUGAUGUCUGAGUACUAUCUAAUAGUUAAAACUUUCAACAACGGAUUCUUGGUUCUGGCAUCGAUGAAGAACGCAGCGAAAUGCGAUAAGUAAUGGAAUUGCAGAAUUCAGUGAAUCAUCGAAUCUUUGAACGCACAUUGCGCCUGUGGUAUUCCGCAGGGCAUGCCUGUUCGAGCGUCAUUUAACCACUCACCCUAGCGUGGUAUUGGGGCACGCGGUCUCGCGGCCCUCAAAAUCAGUGGGGCGCCGGUGGGCUCUAAGCGUAGUACAUACUCCCGCUAUAGAGUUCCCCGGUGGCUCGCCAGAACCUCCAAUUUUUUACAGGUUGACCUCGGAUCAGUAGGGAUACCCGCUGAACUUAAGCAUAUCAAUAAGCGGAGGAAAGGGCU